GCCCGCCAACCAGUGAACCAGUCGUCAGAAGAUCAGAGUCCGGGGAAAGACGAGGAAGCGGAGGACCCCGCCAACAAAUCCUUCCUGGGCAAGAUUAAAGCGUUUGAGAAGAUGGACCAUCUGGCAAGAGCUCAGAGGAUCCUGGAGCUACAGGAGGCAGAAAACGCUCGAGUCAGUAGUGCUGUCUUUCUUCAUGGUACAGCUGUAAACUUCAGAGCAGGAACAGACACAGCAGGCAGCUUUCAGUUGACGUUUGGCAGUUGAAUCCUGUCAGAUUAAUAGAAAGCUGCAUUUAAAGUUCCUCUUACUUCCCCGUCUGUCCUAAAACAAUCCUGACAUUCCCAUAUCCAAGUCCAGUGUCUAAAAGCAUUUUCUGAUGUUCAGUCAGAUCCAUGAAAUGUACAUAAAGAUGGCUGUGUCCCAACA